rnacentral:tRNA from 1 species
GGAGAGGUGCUAGAGUGGUUGAAUAGGGUACACUCGAAAUGUACUGUUAGACUUCUUUCUAACCGUGGGUUCGAAUCCCACCCUCUCCG